UUGGGAUCCUGGCUUGGGAUCGUGGCUCAGGAUUUCUCAAGAGGUUUCUAUCAAACUGAUAACGAAGGCUGUAGUCUCUGAAGACGUGACUGGAGUUGGAAGAUUCACUUCCGAGCCCACUCAUGUGGCUGUUGAUUUACCGACAAGACUGUGAAACUUUCGGGAUGGUUGUGAAAAUGCUGAUUGAAAAAGAUCCUUCAUUAGAAAAGUCUGUACAAUUUGCAUUGAGACAGAAUUUACAUGAAAUAGGUGAGCGGUGUGUUGAAGAACUCAAGCAUUUCAUUGCAGAGUAUGACACUUCUAGUCAAGAUUUUGGAGAGCCUUUUUAGAAAAUUACUUGCUCAGGCAACAAAAAUGUUUCUAGCAGUUUGUUUGUUUUUUUUCCCUGGAUUGUGUAAAUCCUUAAUAUAUGGAAUUUUUGUGAUGAAGAGAAAUACUUUGAUAGUUGACUACCUUUCCAGUGUCAAGUAAACAUCUAAAACAGUCUAAGAUAUUUUAAUUAGAAUUUUAAAAUCUACAUGUAGAGCCUCGUAAUCCAUACUUCUCUUUUUCCCCCCUAAAAUGAUGGGUCAGUUAAUUUUUCAAGCUUUGAAAAAGCAGUCCUGGAGAACAGCUCAUGUUCUCUUGUCUUCUAUAGUAUGCGAUCAUUUGUUUUGGUCACACUAGUGUAAUUUAUUAGGUUAGAGAUCAUUCCACUUAAAACAUUUAUACUCUUUUUGCAUUUCAUAGUCAGUGAUACCAUGUGAAAUGUUAGAAUUCUGAGUUUUGAUUUUAUUGACUUGUUGCUUGCUUAUUUUAGGCUUUGUAACUUUUAAUAUGUUCAAAUAUACUAUCCAAAUAAACUGAAUACUUAAGCGUCUAUAGAAUAUUUGCUUUGAGAUUCUCAUUGUGAUAAAAUACAGCACUUAAAUCUCAAAAAGACCUCAUAAUAAAAUCCUAUUUUCCAAGUAAAUGAACUCAAUGUUUUCUGUUAAAAUAAUCCUGAAACUCCUAACCAUUCUCACAGAUAUGAGUCUUAAACAGUAUCAUAUAUAAGAAAGAGAAGGGACAAUUUGAAAUAAAAGAGAGCUCUUUUCAAAUUGAGGUUUCUUUAGAAUCUUCUAAUUGAAAGAGAGAAAUUUAGAAUAUGAGGGAGUAGUACUGGAGUUUCAUUUUUUCCCCAGGCCCAUAUUUUUCAUCUCAAAAAAGAAGGUCCUUGAUAAUAUAUCCAUAAUCAAACCAUUUACAGAUGAUGCCUUUGUUAAUCUGUUUGUAGUCUUAACAAGAUCUUUGUUCUGAUGCCCUUUUUAGGGGUCCUCAAAAGUGUCCUUUAAAGAAACAAAGCAGAGUAGGCAGUAAGCCCAGCACAAUUACCCCUCACCAAGCGGUUUAUGUAAACAGUUCUUCAUGAGUGAGCCAUCCAAAUCACGAGUUAACUGGGACCAUUAGGAUAUUCCACUCAUUUCCUGAUCCCUUCAGGUGACCAGUGGCAUUUAGCCAAAAUAUGUAUUUCUGUGGCAUUAGGAAACCUUAAAAAUCAUGCUUGUUAUUACUACCCAGUUUCAUUAUCCCCCCAUCCUCUUUCCAUUUCCAUUCUCUUCUCAAAUUCUGAUGUUAUCUUUAGUGGCCUAUAUUGAUAAUAUCUAAAGAGCUACCCCAGAAGAGAUAAAAAUUAUAUUAAAAGGAGAAACAGCAGUACAUUUGGUGAAUCCUAUAAUGUGUAUUAUGCCAUUCCACAAAUGUAAAAACUACUUGAACACAAUUAUUUUCUUAAGUUUUCUAUAUGAGAUUGCCUUGAACUCUUAUUUUUUGCCAUUUAGAUAUUGUACAUAAAACUAAACCCCACAUGUCAUUUCUGGUAGUCUAAUUCCCUAAUUAUGAACAGUGAUUUUAUUUGUUACCCACUUAGAAAGACCAAGAAAGUACUGAUAUUGUUUCUUCGCUUACCCCCUUGUUUUUCUUUUCCUUAAAUAUUCUGAUUCCAGGAUUUAAUUCCUGUAGUCAAGAUGUCACAAGUUUAAAAAUAAAAGUUAAGACACUACCACCAAGGCAAAGGAUUUGUACAAAUUCAUUAAACUGGAAAUUCAUUCAACUAGAGGUUUUACUUACAGACUCAUUUAAAUGUAGGUUCAACCAAUACUUUCUUCUUCUCCCCUUCCCCAAAUUACAUUCAACAUUUAAAGCUGUUUAUAGCUUGCCAUCACCAUUAUUCUGGUAGGCUUGUCAGUGUUAAAUCUGUUGGUUUUUGACAGCUUUUUAAAGACCAAUUUUAGGAUAGUUGAAUUCAGAUAUGUACCAGAGUGUGUAUUUUGCAAAAUGUUCUUGAUUAAAGAAAUUUGUAAAUUAUCCAUUGUUUUUGAGUAUGCCCAAUUGAUAUGAUAAAUUUUUCAUUGUCUUACCAUAAAGCCUUGAUGAUCAACAGGGGGAAAGCACUAUUGUGAAGCUUUUUGUGAAUUUUAAAAGUGCAAAAUAAAGCAACUAGGUUUAAAUAA